AGUCACUGACAUUAGAUACCCGUGUAGUCCAGGGUGUAAACGCUGCAGACUUGGUGUUGGAAGCCCUUUGGGGGCAUUCAGCGCCGGAGAGAAGUUGUUAAGUCUGCUACUUGGGGAGUAUGUCCGCAAGGAUGAAACUUAAAGGAAUUGGCGGGGGAGCACCGCAACGGGAGGAGCGUGCGGUUCAAUUGGACUCAACGCCGAAAAACUCACCAGGAGCGACGGAUAUAUGAAGGUCAAGCUGAUGACUUUACCUGAUUUCCCG
rnacentral:rRNA from 1 species